AUUGAACGCUGGCGGCAGGCCUAACACAUGCAAGUCGGACGGUAGCACAGAGGAGCUUGCUCCUUGGGUGACGAGUGGCGGACGGGUGAGUAAUGUCUGGGGAUCUGCCCGAUAGAGGGGGAUAACCACUGGAAACGGUGGCUAAUACCGCAUAACGUCGCAAGACCAAAGAGGGGGACCUUCGGGCCUCUCACUAUCGGAUGAACCCAGAUGGGAUUAGCUAGUAGGCGGGGUAAUGGCCCACCUAGGCGACGAUCCCUAGCUGGUCUGAGAGGAUGACCAGCCACACGGGAACUGAGACACGGUCCAGACUCCUACGGGGGGCAGCAGUGGGGAAUAUUGCACAAUGGGCGCAAGCCUGAUGCAGCCAUGCCGCGUGUAUGAAGAAGGCCUUCGGGUUGUAAAGUACUUUCAGCGGGGAGGAAGGCGGUGAGGUUAAUAACCUCACCGAUUGACGUUACCCGCAGAAGAAGCACCGGCUAACUCCGUGCCAGCAGCCGCCGUAA
rnacentral:rRNA from 1 species